UACAGAGGUCUCAAGCGUUGUUCGGAUUUACUGGGCGUAAGGGCGCGUAGGCGGCCACCGCAAGUCGACUGUGAAAUCUCCGGGCUUAACCCGGAAAGGUCAGCCGAUACUGCGGGGCUAGAGUGCAGAAGGGGCAACUGGAAUUCUCGGUGUAGCGGUGAAAUGCGUAGAUAUCGAGAGGAACACCUGCGGCGAAGGCGGGUUGCUGGGCUGACACUGACGCUGAUGCGCGAAAGCUAGGGGAGCGAACGGG
rnacentral:rRNA from 1 species